rnacentral:rRNA from 1 species
CCUACGGGUGGCAGCAGUGAGGAAUCUUGGUCAAUGGACGAGAGUCUGAACCAGCCAAGUAGCGUGAAGGAUGACGGCCCUAUGGGUUGUAAACUUCUUUUAUAUGGGAAUAAAAUGUUCCACGUGUGGGAGAUUGUAUGUACCAUAUGAAUAAGGAUCGGCUAACUCCGUGCCAGCAGCCGCGGUAAUACGGAGGAUCCGAGCGUUAUCCGGAUUGAUUGGGUGUAAAGGGAGCGUAGGUGGAUUGUUAAGUCAGUUGUGAAAGUUGGCGGAUCAACCGUAAAAUUGCAGUUGAAACUGGCAGUCUUGAGUACAGUAGAGGUUGGCGGAAUUCGUGGUGUAGCGGUGAAAUGCUUAGAUAUCACGAAGAACUCCGAUUGCGAAGGCAGUUCACUGGACUGCAACUGACACUGAGGCUCGAAAGUGUGGGUAUCAAACAGGAUUAGAUACCCGAGUAGUC